CCUACGGGAGGCAGCAGUGGGGAAUAUUGGACAAUGGGGGGAACCCUGAUCCAGCGACGCCGCGUGAGUGAAGAAGUAUUUCGGUAUGUAAAGCUCUGUCAGCAGGGAAGAAAGAAAUGACUGUACCUGACCAAGAAGCCCCGGCUAACUACGUGCCAGCAGCCGCGGUAAUACGUAGGGGGCAAGCGGUAUCCGGAGUUACUGGGUGUAAAGGGCGCGUAGGCGGGACUGCAAGUCAGAUGUGAAAGGCUGGGGCUCAACCUCAGAACUGCCUUGGAAACUGUAUGGCUGGAGUGCCGGAGAGGUAAGUGGAAUUCCUAGUGUAGCGGUGAAAUGCGUAGAUAUUAGGAGGAACACCAGUGGCGAAGGCG
rnacentral:rRNA from 1 species